UGGGGAAUAUUGGACAAUGGGCGCAAGCCUGAUCCAGCCAUGCCGCGUGUGUGAAGAAGGCCUUUUGGUUGUAAAGCACUUUAAGCGAUGAGGAGGCUACUUGGAUUAAUACUCUAGGAUAGUGGACGUUACUCGCAGAAUAAGCACCGGCUAACUCUGUGCCAGCAGCCGCGGUAAUACAGAGGGUGCGAGCGUUAAUCGGAUUUACUGGGCGUAAAGCGUGCGUAGGCGGCUUUUUAAGUCGGAUGUGAAAUCCCUGAGCUUAACUUAGGAAUUGCAUUCGAUACUGGGAAGCUAGAGUAUGGGAGAGGAUGGUAGAAUUCCAGGUGUAGCGGUGAAAUGCGUAGAGAUCUGGAGGAAUACCGAUGGCGAAGGCAGCCAUCUGGCCUAAUACUGACGCUGAGGUACGAAAGCAUGGGGAGCAAACAGG
rnacentral:rRNA from 1 species